rfam:TPA: Bos taurus chromosome 13, whole genome shotgun sequence.
UAAGUGACUCAGUUCCUCUCACUGCUUGGAGCCUUAUGUAGUGGGAUUUUAGUCCAUAAUAUAUCUAAGCUGACUUGUCUUCACUCAGGGCACCAUGGGAAUGGGUUGGCUGUCCAUCAGUGCUUUCUGAUUCUUGUGGAGUCCAACAGUU